AGUGAACGCUGGCGGCAGGCCUAACACAUGCAAGUCGAGCGGAUGAAGGGAGCUUGCUCCUGGAUUCAGCGGCGGACGGGUGAGUAAUGCCUAGGAAUCUGCCUGGUAGUGGGGGAUAACGUCCGGAAACGGGCGCUAAUACCGCAUACGUCCUGAGGGAGAAAGUGGGGGAUCUUCGGACCUCUCGCUAUCAGAUGAGCCUAGGUCGGAUUCGCUAGUUGGUGGGGUAAAGGCCUACCAAGGCGACGAUCCGUAACUGGUCUGAGAGGAUGAUCAGUCACACGGGAACUGAGACACGGCCCAGACUCCUACGGGAGGCAGCAGUGGGGAAUAUUGGACAAUGGGGGAGAGCCUGAUCCAGCCAUGCCGCGUGUGUGAAGAAGGUCUUCGGAUUGUAAAGCACUUUAAGUUGGGAGGAAGGGCAGUAAGUUAAUACCUUGCUGUUUUGACGUUACCAACAGAAUAAGCACCGGCUAACUUCGUG
rnacentral:rRNA from 1 species